rnacentral:rRNA from 1 species
CAGCCGCCACGGUAAUACGAAGGGGGCUAGCGUUGCUCGGAAUGACUGGGCGUAAAGGGCGCGUAGGCGGCGGCCAAAGUCAGGCGUGAAAUUCCCGGGCUCAACCUGGGGGCUGCGUUUGAUACUUGGUUGCUUGAGUGGGGAAGAGGGUCGUGGAAUUCCCAGUGUAGAGGUGAAAUUCGUAGAUAUUGGGAAGAACACCGGUGGCGAAGGCGGCGACCUGGUCCUUUACUGACGCUGAGGCGCGAAAGCGUGGGGAGCAAACAGGAUUAGAUACCCGUGUAGUCCCUGUCUCUUAUAC